UCCUUCUCCUCAUAGCAUUUACUCUAUAAUAUUCAGUGAAAAAAAUUUUGAAACUUCAUUAGUGUGCCACUUCGUAAGUCUUGCCACAUUUAUGAAGGAUAGAUGGCUCGAGAUAUUGCAGUAUAAUGAUUUAAAAAAGAAGAUCCAGAGAUCAUUUUCAGAUCCAUCAAGGUUUGCCACAUGUCGGAUGUUGAUAGGCCCCAUAUUGUGCCUCAUAGAUC
rnacentral:lncRNA from 1 species